UACGAAGGGGGCUAGCGUUGCUCGGAAUUACUGGGCGUAAAGCGCACGUAGGCGGCUUUCUAAGUCGGGGGUGAAAUCCUGGAGCUCAACUCCAGAACUGCCUUCGAUACUGGAAAGCUCGAGUCCGGGAGAGGUGAGUGGAACUGCGAGUGUAGAGGUGAAAUUCGUAGAUAUUCGCAAGAACACCAGUGGCGAAGGCGGCUCGCUGGACUGAUACUGACGCUGAGGUGCGAAAGCGUGGGGAGCAAACAGG
rnacentral:rRNA from 1 species